CACCUACACAAACUGGUAUCCCUAUACACUACAUUCUGUAAGCACACACAUUAGAUCCUCUACAGUAACACAUAACACAUCCCCUACACACUCUACUCCCUGUGAGUUCAUGGGUGGAACAUGUAGGUGAACUUAUGGGUGGGCUUUAUGGGCAUACUCACCGUCAGGCCCUGGGGCCCAGACCUUGAGCUAUGUAAGAGGCCCCCAAAAAAUGGAGCUGCUUCCCGUUCUCCCAGAACAUUGAAUUUUGUGACCACAGUUGCAAACAGCCUCCAGAGAUCCUGUUCUAGACCAGUGGAGCCAGACUGCAGCCAGAGCCCAUCACCAUCCUCAUCUGAUUGUAAGUAGGCAAUCUAGUAUAUUAUUAGUGACACUAAUCUCUAAUUUACCUCACAUUAAAUGGACACUAUAGUCCCCAGAACCACUGCAGUUUAAUAAAGUUGUUCUGGUGUCUAUAGUUUGUC